UGAGCAGCAGGUACCCUACCGACACAACCAUUGGUCAUGGCCUACAAGUUGGCCAUGGGGGGCUUUUUUUCCUAGUAUGCCUUGUGAUAUCCUCCAUGGAUGUCCUCGGCGCCGUCGCCAGCAGCGUCCUGCCACCGCCGCCGAUGUAUGUGUUGGGGGACUCGACGAUGGACGUUGGAAACAACAACUUCCUACCGGGGCCAUUCGUUCCCAGAGCCAACAUGCCCUACUACGGCAUCGACUUCCCAAGCGUUCCUACCGGAAGGUACAGCAACAGCUUCAACAUCGCUGACUUCAUCGCAAAGAGCAUGGGAUUCUUGAGUAGCCCUCCGCCUUAUCUGAUGCUGGCGCCAAGCACAGGCCUUCUGGUCUCCACCGCUCUCGAAAGUGGUGUGAACUAUGCUUCCGGAGGAUCUGGCAUCCUUGACAUCACUAACGCCUAGCAACAGAACAUCCCACUGUCGAGGCAGGUGCAGUACUUCAACGACACCAGGGCAAAGAUGGUCGCUGCCGUGGGCUCCGCUGCGGCGGUGGAUGCCCUGCUCGCCAGGUCCAUGUUCCUCAUCAGCGUCGGCAAC